rnacentral:misc_RNA from 1 species
AAUGGACCGAGAUCGCCGCCGCGCUUGGCUGAGCUGCAAUCGGAGAAGCGAGAGGCGAUGUCCUCGAACUUAGCCUUGCCAGAAACGAUGUCGUCACGGAAGAGUUGAAGCUGAGAGACAGCGGAGUCUCUGGUGGUGUUCUUGAUGACGCGACCUUCAGGAUCCUUCCAGGAUGCCUUCCUUCGAGAGCCUUCAUGCUUUAUGAGUAUGUGAGAUGCCCUGACCUGAUUGGCCGACGCCAUUUUCGUCUUCUUCUUGCUCUUUUCUCUUUCUUUUCCUCUUUCUUUAGAUCGAUCCGCAGAUGAGAUCGAAUCUUUCUUUCUCUUCCUAUCAGACUCUAUUUUCACCGAUCUACGUAUACUUUGGUGCUCUGCUUGGGAGUCUAACUUGGAGUGCUUUUGGCUUUUGUUUUUUCCUCCACCAAAAAGAGGCAGCCGUGAACUAUGGUGCUCUACAC